UACAGAGGUCUCAAGCGUUGUUCGGAUUCACUGGGCGUAAAGGGUGCGUAGGCGGCGCGGUAAGUCGGGUGUGAAAUCUCGGAGCUUAACUCCGAAACUGCAUUCGAUACUGCCGUGCUUGAGGACUGGAGAGGAGAGUGGAAUUUACGGUGUAGCGGUGAAAUGCGUAGAUAUCGUAAGGAAGACCAGUGGCGAAGGCGGGUCUCUGGACAGUUCCUGACGCUGAGGCACGAAAGUCAGGGGAGCAAACGGG
rnacentral:rRNA from 1 species